rnacentral:misc_RNA from 1 species
UACGGAGGGUGCGAGCGUUAAUCGGAAUUACUGGGCGUAAAGCGCGCGUAGGCGGCUUGAUAAGCCGGUUGUGAAAGCCCCGGGCUCAACCUGGGAACGGCAUCCGGAACUGGCAGGCUAGAGUACGGGAGAGGAAGGUGGAAUUCCCGGUGUAGCGGUGAAAUGCGUAGAGAUCGGGAGGAAUACCAGUGGCGAAGGCGCCCUUCUGGACUGACACUGACGCUGAGGUGCGAAAGCGUGGGGAGCAAACAGG